rnacentral:rRNA from 1 species
UACGUAGGGUGCAAGCGUUAAUCGGAAUUACUGGGCGUAAAGCGUGCGCAGGCGGUGAUGUAAGACAGAUGUGAAAUCCCCGGGCUCAACCUGGGAACUGCAUUUGUGACUGCAUCGCUGGAGUGCGGCAGAGGGGGAUGGAAUUCCGCGUGUAGCAGUGAAAUGCGUAGAUAUGCGGAGGAACACCGAUGGCGAAGGCAAUCCCCUUGGCCUGCACUGACGCUCAUGCACGAAAGCGUGGGGAGCAAACAGG